rnacentral:rRNA from 1 species
CCUACGGUGGGCUGCAGUGAGGAAUAUUGGUCAAUGGGCGCGAGCCUGAACCAGCCAAGUCGCGUGAGGGGAGACGGUCCUCUGGAUUGUAAACCACUGUUCUUGGUGAAGAUAAUGACGGUAACCAAGGAGAAAGCUCCGGCUAACUUCGUGCCAGCAGCCGCGGUAAUACGUGGGCAGCAAGCGUUGUCCGGAUUUACUGGGUGUACAGGGUGCGUAGGUGGUCUUGCAAGUCAGACGUGAAAACCACAGGCUCAAUCUGUGGACUGCGUUUGAAACUGUGGGGCUUGAGUGAAGUAGAGGUAGGCGGAAUUCCCGGUGUAGCGGUGAAAUGCGUAGAGAUCGGGAGGAACACCAGUGGCGAAGGCGGCCGACUGGGCUUUAACUGACGCUGAGGCACGAAAGCAUGGGUAGCAAACAGGAUUAGAUACCCGUGUAGUC